CAAGGAAUUUUCGGCAAUGGGCGCAAGCCUGACCGAGCAACGCCGCGUGGAGGAUGACGGCCUUCGGGUUGUAAACUCCUUUUCCAGGGGAUGAUGAUGACCGUACCCUGGGAAUCAGGCUCGGCUAACUCUGUGCCAGCAGCCGCGGUAAGACAGAGGAGCCAAGCGUUGUCCGGAUUGACUGGGCGUAAAGCGCACGCAGGCGGUGGGGCACGUGGGGUGUGAAAGCGGCCCGCUUAACGGGGCGAGGCCAUCCCAUACGGCCCGACUCGAGAGUGGCAGAGGUUCGUGGAAUUGCCGGUGUAGUGGUGAAAUGCGUAGAGAUCGGCAGGAACACCAAGGGGGAAACCAGCGAACUGGGCCAUAUCUGACGCUCAGGUGCGAAAGCGUGGGGAGCGAACC
rnacentral:rRNA from 1 species